rnacentral:rRNA from 1 species
AUUGAACGCUGGCGGCAGGCUUAACACAUGCAAGUCGAGCGGAGAUGAGGUGCUUGCACCUUAUCUUAGCGGCGGACGGGUGAGUAAUGCUUAGGAAUCUGCCUAUUAGUGGGGGACAACAUUCCGAAAGGAAUGCUAAUACCGCAUACGUCCUACGGGAGAAAGCAGGGGAUCUUCGGACCUUGCGCUAAUAGAUGAGCCUAAGUCGGAUUAGCUAGUUGGUGGGGUAAAGGCCUACCAAGGCGACGAUCUGUAGCGGGGAUGGGAGGAUGAUCCGCCACACUGGGACUGAGACACGGCCCAGACUCCUACGGGAGGCAGCAGUGGGGAAUAUUGGACAAUGGGGGGAACCCUGAUCCAGCCAUGCCGCGUGUGUGAAGAAGGCCUUAUGGUUGUAAAGCACUUUAAGCGAGGAGGAGGCUACUGAGACUAAUACUCUUGGAUAGUGGACGUUACUCGCAGAAUAAGCACCGGCUAACUCUGUGCCAGCAGCCGCCGUAA